GAUCAUACCAGCACUAAAGCACCGGAUCCCAUCAGAACUCCGAAGCUAAGCGUGCUUGGGCGAGAGUAGUACUAGGAUGGGUGACCUCCUGGGAAGUCCUCGUGUUGCAUUCC
rnacentral:rRNA from 1 species